GGAAGACUGGUCUGACCCUCAUGAGAUGUUGUGUGAUUAAAACACAGAUAUAUUUUGUUCCAUUUUUACUCUAGGGCUUAUGAUAUAGUCUGGAUGUUGUCCCCUUUAAAUCUCAUGUUGAAUUUUAAUCCCCAGUGUUGGAGGUGGGGCCUGGUAGGAGCUGAUUGGAUCACGAAGGCCAAUUUCUCACAAAUAGUUUAGUGCCAUUCCUCUUGGCACUGUCCUUGGAAUGACUUGGGGUGCUGUCCUCACAAUAAUGAGUUCUAACAAGAUCUGGCUGUUUAAAAGUUUGUAGCACCUCUGCCCUCACUCUCCUGCUCCCAUUCUGGAUGGCUCCCCCUUUGUCUUCAGACAUGACUGUCAACUUUCUGAGGCCUCACCAGAAGCUAAGCAGAUGUCCACUGCCCACGCUUUCUGUACAGCCUGCAGAACCAUGAGCCAGUUAAUCCUCUUUUUUUUUUUUGUAAAUUGCCCAGUCUCCAGUAUUUAUUCAUACUAGUGCAAAAAUGGCCUAAUAGAGCUUAUUUUUACUGUAGGCCUAAUACGGCCUUUCCAGACUAAUUAAAUGGGAGAGUUCCCAGGCCCUCCUUGCAGGAUGUGUGACAGGGAUGUGGCUCGCCUGUUUGGUUGCCUGCUGCAGGAGCAUGCAGAUGGGCAGGUGAAGAAGCUGGGGGCAAGGGCUUUGGGCUACAGCCCUGUGGUAGGGUGGAUGCCUGCAACCCAUGUUACAAUGCUUUCUUAGCCUUGCCAUCCACAGAUGGCUUUAAGGGUUAAAGCCCUGUCACAAAGGCAGAGGGCCAGUGUGACAGCUUUCUGUAUCCUUGACAGCUUUCUGAUAUCUCUUGACCAUCAUCCCAGAAAAAUUUGGCUCACACGGGCUCGACGAAUGAAUGUGAGGUUUACUCAGUGGUGGAGGUGGCUCUCAGCAGGGUAGAUGGGGAGCCAGAAUGUGGGGAUGGAGUGGGAAGAUGAUCUUCCCCUUGAGUUGGACUGUCCAGCAGCUGAACUCCUCCCCAAACGCCAUCAGCCAAACUCCUCUGUAGUCCCAGCUAACUCAAGUGGCUGAGAAAGGAGGAUCCCUUGAGCCAGGGAGGUUGAGCUAGGGAGGUGAGCCCUGAUCACACCACUGCACUGCAGCCUGGAAGACAAAGUGAGACCCUGUCUCAAAAUCAAUAAAUACUUAAAUUACUAUCUUCUGCUAAGGUUUACACUAUAGAUGCAGGAAAAAAAAUGUCCUCACACUGUCUGUCUGAUUGUGGCAGCUGAGAUUGAAUAGAGAAAUAUAGGGGUAAAAUAAAAAGAACUUGUAUGUAUAAAGACCAUGAGUUGAAAAGAAACACAUUGAAUUUAAACUGCUGAAAGAAGGCCACUGUGGCUGAAAAGGAAUUAAGUGGUUCAAGAUGAGUGUAGUGAGGUAGGCAGGGGAUGCAUUAUGAAGGGCUUUUGUGACCUUAUGAUGAAUAUUACAAGAAAAAUAAAUCACUACAGUAUCUAGACAAAGGAAUGGCAUACUUUAAUUCAUAUUUGAAAUGCGAAUAAAUUACUUGACGAAAGAGAGUGAAUGCUAGGAGAACAGUUUGGAGGUUCAAUCAUGCUUGUUCAGGGAAUAAAAAUUAAAGACUAGUUAUAUGGGGAGAGGAGAACAAAUUGUGUGAUUUUUGGAUAGAGAGGUGUUAUUCCCAAGAUUCUGUCUUUCACAGCUAAAUUGAGGGUAAUGGAUCCACUAAGAUGUCCUUGAGCUAUUUCCAUUAAAAUAGCAAUUCAACCUGCCCUCUGACGUAUACAGAUAUCUCUAGUUGAAGAAUAAUAUCUCCUUGCCUUAUUUUACAAAACUCAUCUCUUAAGCAUAUCGCAUUCCUGUACAUCAAAUGCACUGUGACUUACCUAAUUUCUUAUUAGAAUUAGAUGUAUUCUACAAGCUAGGUUUCCUAAGUUGCCAGUCUUAUGUUCAUUGUAGCACAAUCCACUACAUAAAACACAUCUUGAUUGUGUCUAUUUCCCCCCCAAAAAAAACCUUUAAAACUGACAUUUGCUUACCAAUUAGGAUUAUAAUUAUUUUGUGGCAUAUUGUAGGUAUUAAAUUUUAUCCACCCUCCUUUCCUGUUUUUAACAGUUAUGGUUUCAUUAUACUUUAGUAAUUAAAAAUUAUUUGAACUUGUAUACAAUAUUUUACUGAGAUCCAUCAUUUAUGUUAUCUACUCUGAAGUCUUUACUGCUUGUAUAUCUUUUCUUGCAACAUUUCCAGUCCACCUGCUAUGGCAGUUCCUCUCCAUGGAACUUAACUACUCAACAGAAUGAAAGCUCUUCUCCCUUUUUCAAUAUCAUUUUCCUUGGUUCACUCCAACUUCUGCCUUCAAAUAGCAUCUAGUCACUGAUGAUUUUAAAUGGGC
rnacentral:lncRNA from 1 species